GAAUUGCAGAAUUCAGUGAAUCAUCAAAUCUUUGAACGCAAGUGGCGCUCUCACGCUCGCGUGGGAGCAUGCCGCUUUCAGCAUCGGUUAUUCUAAACUCAUCUGCUUGCAGGUGGAGAAUGAGUUCGCUUGCCGUUGUCGCUUGUCGCUCUUGGAGAAAAGCGUCACUUAAAGUUUGGCGAGCUCAGUUGCAAGUUUCAUUGAGAAAGUGACGUUGGUAGGUAAUAAAAGGCGUCGGCCUUUGUUCACUUCACGCCGCGUCUGCUUUCGUCUGCAGGUGAAGCUGCCCUCUUGAUCUUUCUAGCAAUAAAGAGAACUUCGAGGACGACUAGCGUAGGAGCAGUCUUGUUUGUUUGUCUGUUUGUUUGAACAAUUAAAAAACAAGAAACGAGUCACUGCUCAGCCUUAACGGCUUGAUCUGAAAUGAGGUAAGAGGACCCGCCGAAUUUAAGC
rnacentral:misc_RNA from 1 species